GGUGGAGACCCUGGGUGGGCACUCGCGCCUGCGCAGAAGCAGACCCUCUGCAGACGCCAGCGGCUCGGUGGCUGACGGCCAAGUCCAUUGUCUGCGCUCCCUGUGCCAAGGCGCUUGGCUCCUGUUUACUGGGCUUUUAUCUGCGUUUAUCUUUUCAACGGCAAGCAUCGUCCACCUUGAGAAGUUGCUACUAAGGAGAAACGAGCAGUAAUCUUCAGGACAUUUCUCAGGACAACAUUCAUAAGUCAAAGCAAGUACCAGGAGGAAGUGGCCGUGUUGUGUGAGUGACUUCAGGUGCCCUCUUGGAACCACUCACCAAGAAGCCCACGCACCAAACCCAUCUGCAAAGUGUGUGGGAAAGAAAGAGAAGUCUCCAGUGAAUUGUGGACUCUUGAGUUAAACCUAAAGCUUUCCUGCCUCCUGAUGUCAGUCCAGUGAAAUAAAAGACCCUUCCCUUUUUA
rnacentral:lncRNA from 1 species